AACCAUAGACCCACUUUGUUAUGGUAUCUUCUGUUUGGGUGUCUCAGGUCAGGACUUUGUUAUGGUAUCUUCUGUUUGGGUGUCUCAGGUCAGGACUUUGUUAUGGCAUCUUCUGUUUGGGUGUCUCAGGUCAGGACUUUGUUAUGGUAUCUUCUGUUUGGGUGUCUCAGGUCAGGACUUUGUUAUGGCAUCUUCUGUUUGGGUGUCUCAGGUCAGGACUUUGUUAUGGUAUCUUCUGUUUGGGUGUCUCAGGUCAGGACUUUGUUAUGGUAUCUUCUGUUUGGGUGUCUCAGGUCAGGACUUUGUUAUGGUAUCUUCUGUUUGGGUGUCUCAGGUCAGGACUUUGUUAUGGUAUCUUCUGUUUGGGUGUCUCAGGUCAGGACUUUGUUAUGGUAUCUUCUGUUUGGGUGUCUCAGGUCAGGACUUUGUUAUGGUAUCUUCUGUUUGGGUGUCUCAGGUCAGGACUUUGUUAUGGUAUCUUCUGUUUGGGUGUCUCAGGUCAGGACUUUGUUAUGGUAUCUUCUGUUUGGGUGUCUCAGGUCAGGACUUUGUUAUGGCAUCUUCUGUUUGGGUGUCUCAGGUCAGGUCUAAGCCAUGAUCAGAAUGUGUCUGUGUCUAUUUCCAGCCCUGCCAUUUCUACUUGUCCUGAUCUAGUGUUUGACCCCUGACCUCCUCAUACCGUCUCACUGUCCAUGUCUGCUUUCAGCUCCCACCUCUACUUCACGGUGUGAUCAGGACAACAUUGUGCCUCCAUGGUUUAGUAUAACGGGGCCAAAGACACAUCAUUUACUAGACAGCCUGCUACAGUCAGACAGAUCAGGUAAUAAGACGUAUGGGGAUGUUGUGGAGAUACUUAAAGGACAUUUUUCACAGGAACCACUAGUUAAUACUGAAAGGUUCAGGUUCCACAGGAGACAUCAGGAAGAGGGAGAAUCAGGACCAAUGUUUGCUGCUGCAGUAAAGAACCUAUCAGAACACUGAGUUGAAUGGUGUUCUAAAUGACAUCAUCAGAGACAGACUAGUAUGUGGCUACAGAGUGAAGACACGCAAGAGACCUUUGACUGAAAGUCAUCUGACCUUGACAAGGGACAUUGAAAUCAGAGUGUCCAGGAGGGGUUGGAUUGGGGGAUGGUCCCAGGAGGGGUUGGAGGGUGUGUUGAUGCAGCUCACAUGAGUGAUUGCAUAUGUGGGUAAUUAUAAUUGUAUUUAGCUGCAAUAAGUGCUUUCCAUAAUAUACUGAUAUAUAUAUUAACAGUAUUGUGUCUCUAGCUGUACAACUGUUCCUGCUGCUAUUUCUUCUGAUAUAUAUUUUAACAGUAUUGUGUCUCUAGCUGUAUAAUUGUUCCUGCUGCUAUUUCUUCUGAUAUAUAUAUUAACAGUAUUGUGUCUCUAGCUGUAUAAUUGUUCCUGCUGCUAUUUCUUCUGAUAUAUAUAUUAACAGUAUUGUGUCUCUAGCUGUAUAACUGUUCCUGCUGCUAUUUCUUCUGAUAUAUAUAUUAACAGUAUUGUGUCUCUAGCUGUAUAACUGUUCCUGCUGCUAUUUCUUCUGAUAUACACUUCCGUUCAAAAGUUUGGGGUCACUUAGAAAUGUUUUUGAAAGAAAAGCAAUUUUUGACCAUUAAAAUGAACA